CCUUCCGGUUCGGAAUAACCCUGGGAAACUAGGGCUAAUACCGGAUACGCCCUUAUGGGGAAAGGUUUACUGCCGGAAGAUCGGCCCGCGUCUGAUUAGCUAGUUGGUGGGGUAACGGCCUACCAAGGCGACGAUCAGUAGCUGGUCUGAGAGGAUGAUCAGCCACACUGGGACUGAGACACGGCCCAGACUCCUACGGGAGGCAGCAGUGGGGAAUAUUGGACAAUGGGCGCAAGCCUGAUCCAGCCAUGCCGCGUGAGUGAUGAAGGCCUUAGGGUUGUAAAGCUCUUUUAUCCGGGACGAUAAUGACGGUACCGGAGGAAUAAGCCCCGGCUAACUUCGUGCCAGCAGCCGCGGUAAUACGAAGGGGGCUAGCGUUGCUCGGAAUCACUGGGCGUAAAGGGCGCGUAGGCGGCGUUUUAAGUCGGGGGUGAAAGCCUGUGGCUCAACCACAGAAUGGCCUUCGAUACUGGGACGCUUGAGUAUGGUAGAGGUUGGUGGAACUGCGAGUGUAGAGGUGAAAUUCGUAGAUAUU
rnacentral:rRNA from 1 species